AAAUAAUUUGACAGUCGAUUUGCUGACAGGGGAGGAAUUUGCAUCCUGGAUUAAAAAAAAAAAAAAAGGCCGAGAGGAGCUUGGGAACGGUUGCUAGGGGUGGGUAAUGGGUGAAAAAAGGGGGGCGCCGGGGAGCGGAUAAGGAAGGUUAAGGGAGGGGGCGAGGGUGGGGAGCAAUGCAAAAGGUAAGGCCAGGUUACCGCGGCUCGGCCCCGAGUGGGCUGCGGCCGGGGGAGGGGCGAGAGAUACAUAUGUAUUUCUGUCUCCCUAGCACACCCCCUUCCCUCUAAGCGAUGGCUGAGAGGCGGUGCAUGCAGAUGGGGAGUAAGUUUCCUGAAGGGGAGGGUGGAUGCACGCGCGCGGCCCCGCGCUGCAAAUUUCCACCGGGGAGGGAGAGUGGCUGGAUGCGGAGAGUUUGGAGUUGCUUGCCGCGGAGGGCUGGAAGGGGAGCAGGGCCGGGAAAGGGGGCUGGCGGGCGCUAUAUCUGGGAGUAAGUUUCCAGGAUCAGGAGAGCCUGCACGCUUGCACGCUACUCUGCUCGCCCCCCAUCUCAUCCCCCAAGCGGAGUCUGGUCUUGUCGGAUUGCCCAUGCACUUGUUGCAGAAACAGCCAAGGCCCCGGCUCUGGAGGAUGCUGA
ensembl:lncRNA